rnacentral:lncRNA from 1 species
CUCAUUUCACUAUACCAAUUCAAACUUCAAUUCAGAAAUUCUAAAGAAACCGUCAAUUAUUAUCUCUGGCGGAGUGUGUGUGUUCCCAGUGGUGUAUCAGUGCGUGUUUCUAUGUACAUGAAUUCUGAAUCUACUUCCUUAUGCAUAUUUUUGCAUACGUAUACAAUCUUCUUCCAUUUACAUUUUCUUUUCGAAUUCCCUUCCUUAUUAUUUUCCAGUUUCCCUCCCAAUUCUGUAACUGUUCGCUGGAAGCCUAGU